UUCCCCUUUUCCUAUUAUUAAAGAAUUUUAAUAAAUAAUCUACAGUCUAAAACAUAAAAAAGAGGAAAAUAGGUCCCUCUAGUUAUUUUUAAGAAAGUCCCCCUAGAGUUUAAUUAUUCCUGAGAUUUCAUUGGAAGGAGUCUACCAAACGGAAUUUUUCUGUGUGAAUUUUAAAAGAUGACCGAGUGCCCAAUAUUUUAGAAGAAGAAAGGGAGUGGAUUAAACGCUAAUUCAGUAAUACCUGAAUUUUAGCAAAACACAUAAGUCUAUGCGACUGAGGGUGGGAGAGGCUCGAUUUUUCCAGUAGACGGCCAAGGAGCGCGGGGGUCGAAAGGACCGGGAGGAGGAAACGGGUUAGGGAAACUGCAGGUCGAUGGCACAGAGCGUACUGGUGAAAAAAUCCAGCUCUUCCUCGGAAAAAGGGACCGGGCUGUCGAGAGAACCCUGUAGGCUAGGGGAGAGGCCUCCGGAUAGCUGGAGACAGGAGUCGGCCGCGAAGAAGUUGAGGUCGGGAAGGAAAGGUGAAUCCUGGCGCCCCGAGAAGACGUCUUCUGGCAAUGGCCCGGGCUCCAGCCCGCCGGCCCCGCGCAGAGCGCAGUCGGGGCUCGACGCGCCUGCGCCCUCUAAGCGAACGGCUAAAGGCCGGGGGUCCGCGCUUAAGGCCCCCGGCACCAUCUCCGGCGGGUGACAGCAGGCUUCCCACGCCGCCCGCGAGGCGGAGGGGCCGCCCGGGCUGGCCGCGGUCUCCUCGGCAGGGUCGCAGAUGUCCUCCAGGGCUCCCGGGCAGGCAGGCUCCCCAUCCGGCGGCUCUCGGUGCUGCGUCUGCCGCUUGUGCUUCAUGCGCCGGUUCUGAAACCAGACUUUGACCUGCCUUUCGGUGAGGUCCAGCAAGGCCGCGAUCUCGACGCGGCGUGGCCGGCACAGGUACUUAUUAAAGUGGAAUUCCUUCUCCAGUUCCAGCAGCUGCGUGUUGGUGUAAGCCGUGCGCAGCCUGCGCGCCCCGCCGCCACCAGCCUCCGGCAGUCCCAGGCCAUCUGCAGGGAAAACAGGCUUGGCGUCAUAGCGGGCCGUGUACUCAGCCCAACCUCAGUUCGGACUACCCCAUCCUCCAAAACCAGUAUCACCUCUCCCCUUCCUCGCCACCCCACCCCCGCCCCCACCCCAAAGCCGCUCGCUUUACUGCUUUUGGGUUUUCUUCUCUCCCUCUCUAGUCUACAGCCCCGGCCCGGGUCAGGGCAAAGCAUUCAAAGCCGCCCACGGGCCACGCAGGGGGCGGAGAGCGGCUCCCUUCGGCGCCGGAACCUCAAAUCCCCCUCCCAAGCCCUCCCAGUGGACCCCUCAAUUCGGAACUUUCCAACUCAACCGGAGCGAGGGUCAGAAAGAUUGUUCUUCACCCCUCUUCCUCCCUAGCUCUGAAUUCUUCCUCUUCUCCUAGAGUUGAGCAGAAAGGACCGAAUCUUUUCUGCUUCUAGGGUCUAUACCAGCAACAACAUACUCAUUCCCCUACACAGAUACGGGUGAAAACCUCAAUCAAAUCAUUUUCUUCUAGCAGAAAAAAAGGCGUUUCCCCAACCAGCUUCCAAAAUCAGCCAUAGGGAGAGAAAGAGAGAGAGAGAGAGAAAAAAAAAGACGCUGUUAGCGGCCAGGCCUGAACCCCAGUGGGAUAUUCUACUUCCCCAUCCCAGGAAUGGAGGGGGUAAGGAACCCCAACAGGCUCGCCACUAUUUUUUUUAAACCUCCUUCCACUGCUUUUUCUCCCCCUCUUCUGGCUGCCCCUCACCCCACCCCCACCACGCUUACCGACCUGCAGGCGAUCCGACCCCGGAGGCCGGAACGGCGGAGGCGGCCGGAGAAGGAGACGUGGCGGAUUGGCUGGGUUUCUUGGCGGAUUUCUUCUCUUUCAUCCAAGGGAACUCGGGGGCCGGGGGGGCAGCGGGGAGUGGCGGCGGCGGUGGCGGCGGCAGAGCAGGUCCAUCUUCGGCUCGCUUUUGGCUCCUGGGUCUCUGAAGGGUGGAGGCGCCGGGCUGGAGGCUGGGGAAGGUUUGCUCGAAAGGAGGAGGAGGAGGAAUUAAUGUCGACUCCUUGAUUGAUGAAGUUUGAAAUGUCUCCAAGACAGCGGGGAAGGAAGUCAGACACUCGGCGAGCGACGGCUGGCUGUUUAUAAACCCAAUCUCCCUCUCAAAUUCAAAAUUCAUGGCUUUCAAUGGACUCCAGCGAAAUUACAGGGAAUUCGUGGUCACGGGACCGGCCUCCGCCAAUCGCUCGUCUGGGCCUGGUGGAAAACAGAGAGCAUUAUUUGGUUUAAUUGAUUCAAAAACACCAGAGGACCACGACCAGGACACCAUGAGCCCCCAUUCCUACACCAGUGCCUCACAUGCUCUCUCCCCAAUGCCUCCGUUUCUCCAGAAAAGCUAGAGGAACCUUUUCCUCAUC
rnacentral:lncRNA from 1 species